UACGGAGGAUCCAAGCGUUAUCCGGAUUCAUUGGGUUUAAAGGGUGCGUAGGCGGAUUUGUAAGUCAGUGGUGAAAGCCAACAGCUCAACUGUUGAACUGCCAUUGAUACUGCAAGUCUUGAGUACAUUUGAUGUGGGCGGAAUGUGUCAUGUAGCGGUGAAAUGCUUAGAUAUGACACAGAACACCGAUUGCGAAGGCAGCUCACAAAACUGUAACUGACGCUGAGGCACGACAGCGUGGGGAUCAAACAGG
rnacentral:rRNA from 1 species